AGAUGCCAUAAUACGUGUGUCCUCGCCUGUCUAUUCAUCUGUAGCAUUUCCGAUGCACCAUUAGCAAAGAAUCCCUGUGGACCCACGAAGCAUGUGAUCUCAAACCAAGUACAAGGGUGAUGCUAAUACAGCAUUGCUGCACGUGCUUGACUCCACCCGCCUCCACUUAGCUGACUCCCUGUCUCUGUGGCACAUGCAGACUCCUCGAGAACAAAAUUACCACGUGAUAUUAAGAAGACACUCUCGGCAUUGAAAGCGUUACUGCAGCAGACAUCCAGCAGAGCUCCCAAGGGAGUGGUCUGUAGAUGACCAGGAUAAAAAUAAUCCAGAG
rnacentral:lncRNA from 1 species